rnacentral:tRNA from 1 species
GGUUGUAUAGUGUAGCGGUUAUCACGUCGGAUUCUGAUUCCGGAGAUCGCGGUUCGAUUCCGCGUACGACCU